rnacentral:rRNA from 1 species
UACGAAGGGGGCUAGCGUUGUUCGGAAUUACUGGGCGUAAAGCGCACGUAGGCGGGUCGUUAAGUCAGGGGUGAAAUCCCGGAGCUCAACUCCGGAACUGCCUUUGAUACUGGCGAUCUUGAGAUCGGAAGAGGUGAGUGGAAUUCCCAGUGUAGAGGUGAAAUUCGUAGAUAUUGGGAAGAACACCAGUGGCGAAGGCGGCUCACUGGUCCGAUACUGACGGCUGAGGUGCGAAAGCGUGGGGAGCAAACAGG